rnacentral:rRNA from 1 species
AUUCAACGCUAGCUGGAUGCCUUACACAUGCAAGUCGAACGGCGUGGCGAACGGGUGAGUAAUGUAUCGGAACUCGCCCAGUAGCCGGGGAUAACUACGCGAACGCGUACCUAAUACCGCAUACUAUUGGAGCGGCCGAUAUCGGAUUAGCUAGUUGGUGGGGUACCGGCUCACCAAGGCGACGAUCCGUAGCUGGUGUGAGAGGACGACCAGCCACACUGGGACUGAGACACGGCCCAGAUUCCUACGGGAGGCAGCAGUGGUGAAUUUUGUGCAGUGGGGGAAUCCCUGAUCCAGCCAUACCGCGUGGGCGGUGAAGGCCUUGGGGUUGUAAAGGACUGUUGGCAGAAGAGCGAAGCCUGCUGAAUAAGCACGGGAUAACUACGUGCCAGCAGCCGCGGUAAUUC